UGUUGACAUGAUAAUAGAGCGCUUCAUGCAACGACGGAACUGUUUCAAGUUCCAUGUCACUUUGGACGGGGUAUUUCAGAAACAUAUAAACGGUGAAGAGCAGACAUUUGGUUUCAAGACACGAGCAACUGUGUGUCUGAGAUCAUCAAACAAGGAUGAGAUGAUCAAUGAAGUUCGAAACAAAAUCUUGGAUUCAUACGAGUCUUUUCAAGGAAUGGGUAGCGGUUGGAUAUGGAGACGAUGGCAAAUGGUUACAGUGCUUGUCAUAAAGUACAACCCUGUAUCAGGAUGAUUGAUUGAGUGAUUGAUUAGGGUCUAUAUAUAGGGAUCACUAUAAUGUUGAAAAUUGUUGUUUUAUAUCUUACUAAUUUCAAUUAACUUUAAGAACUUUCAGUAGUUUAAAACCACAAAUCAAUAAC